rnacentral:rRNA from 1 species
GACGAACGCUGGCGGCGUGCUAAACACAUGCAAGUCGAACGGUAAGGCCCUUUCGGGGGUACACGAGUGGCGAACGGGUGAGUAACACGUGGGUGAUCUGCCCUGCACUUUGGGAUAAGCUUGGGAAACUGGGGCUAAUACCGGAUAGGACCCUGGGAUGCAUGUCCUGGGGUGGAAAGCUUUUGCGGUGUGGGAUGGGCCCGCGGCCUAUCAGCUUGUUGGUGGGGUGAUGGCCUACCAAGGCGACGACGGGUAGCCGGCCUGAGAGGGUGACCGGCCACACUGGGACUGAGAUACGGCCCAGACUCCUACGGGAGGCAGCAGUGGGGAAUAUUGCACAAUGGGCGCAAGCCUGAUGCAGCGACGCCGCGUGAGGGAUGACGGCCUUCGGGUUGUAAACCUCUUUCAGCACCGACGAAGCGCAAGUGACGGUAGGUGCAGAAGAAGGACCGGCCAACUACGUGCCAGCCGCCGCCGUAA